ACGUACCUGAUUAUGUCUGGGAGCUUAUGGAACUACUUGAUGAAAAAGAAGAGAAUGUAAGACGAUCCUUAAACUUUGAGAUAAUUCUAUUAAAAAUGUUUCUGGGGACAGACAGAAAUCGAAAAUCUAACUUGCUGCAUCACUUCUGGGCAGCUUGACCAAGUGGCCUUUCUUCCAGUCUGUUGGGAUCUCCUCAAGCUUCCAGAUUCAAGCAAUCCAUGAAGAAUCCUCACAGGUGACAUUAGUACCAGGCACCAUGAGAACGAUUCAUGAGACUUGUCAGAGAUGCCUGGGGUGGUGACCCGGCCGGGAUGCCCAGGAAGACCGGAAGAGGGCUUACGCCCACCUCAGAC